GAGGGAAGAAGAGAUCGAUCAACCAAGAACUCGACCGGAAGACACGGAUCGAUCGAGCAGACGCCGCACAGCUAGUCCGUCCUCCGUCGUCCUUGGUUGGUGCGUUCUCUCUCUCUCUGUCUCCCUCCUCUUCUUGCGCUUGGGUGCCUCCUAUAUAGGGAGGAGAAAAAGGUGAGGAAUUUAUAGACGGGAGGAGGAGGAUGCAGGAUGCUUCUUGGGUUCCUUUUUUCCUCCCUUCUCCUGGCCGCAAAAGCCUGCUGUUAAAAUGGUUGUUGCGAGCUUGCUGUCUUCCGUUUCCGUCUGGUCAUCCUGCCGCCUCUCCCGGGGUUGCUCUGUGGGCAAGCCACUGUGUUGCUCUCCCUGGUGCCGAGGGAUUGGAAAUGGUGCACGAUUACAAUUCGUACCAUGUGUUGUGAUGAAGUUAUUUGCUGUAUUUUUAUCAUGGUUAUCUUACCCGGAUUUUCAUUUUUUUUCACGUGUACGUUUUUCGAACUGCUAAACGAUAUAUUUUUUUGAAAAUUUUCUAUAGAAAAGUUAUUUUAAAAAUCAUAUUAAUUUAUUUUAUAUUUUUAUAAUUAAUAAUUAAUUAAUCAUUUACUAAUUUAUUGCUAUAUUUUUUGUGUUGUAUAACUCACCCACGUUCAUAUUCCUCUCAAAUGCAGCCUGAUGAGUGAGUAUGGAAGGAGUUAAAUAGUCCUAAUGGCUGCACCUGAGGGUUUAAAAAUAUGGUGUUAGAUUAAUUGUCGUUUUCGUUUCUGUUUAUACUUAUAAGCUAAAUUUAAAUUUUUAACUUUAAAUUUAAAGUUAAUUUUGAAGUUUUUUUUUACUGAAGUUUAUCUCUCCUAGCUUGGUAGUGGUUUUGCUGCAUCUGCCACUCUUCAGAUGGUAUGAGCAAAAGGUAUAGAGUAAAAAGUAAAUUCAGGUAAAAUUUUGGAUCUAUUUGGCAUGACUGUAACUACCUCUGUAGGCCCCGAGUCUUAAGUGAUACUGAGUAAGUGUCUCUAAUUCAUUUUUCCAAAUCACCUCAGCCUAUUCAUUUUCCCGUUCCAGAAGAUGCGUAGUCCGAAGUAGGUAUGAAAAUGAUUCGGAAACUUGGUUUCCAAACUAAUUUUUGGAAAUGAAAAUUGUCGGUCGGAUUUUUUCAAAAAUUAUGAAAGCGGAUUCGAAUUUUUUUUCUCAAAAGCAAAAAGGGUACGGUAAGAACACUAUUAGUCCAAAAAUCAGAACAAGUUGGAAACAUUCUAGAAUUUUCUUAGAAUUUCUCCAUGUCCAGCCUAAUUUAUCAGCCUAAUUUAGCAAGUUAGCCUUAAGUCCUUUAUAUAUAGUCAAGACAAAUACACGGACACUUUUCUUUAUAAUGGCUUGUAUAGUGUGCACUUUGCUUUCUGAUAUAAUAUAUGAAAUUUGUAAUAAUCUAUAAGAUAUGCACUUUAAUUUAUAAUAAUUUGUAAACUAUAACAUCUAUUUGGGUAUUGCAACAAUCAUAUAUAAAGUGAUUUAUGAACUUGGUUCUAAUUAUAAAAGUGGUAUAUUUAGUUUCUUGUUUGAAAUUUUAAUCUACUAUUUUAGAAAUAAUUAGAAGCUCGGUUUGAGGUUUUUAUAAUGCAAAUAUUUUCGUUACUAUAUUCGGCUCAUUUUCGCAUUCAAUAAUAAUAAUUCAGUAUUCAUAUCUAAGGUUUUGAUUUUGAUUUGAUUAUGAAAAUGAUACGAAAAUGAAAACCAUGUAGGUGAUUUUCUGAGGUGUUUUCAUCCGUGGCUAGAGGUGGACCCUUAGGAUCGUACCCUGGGUUUUACCCUUGCGCACCGUAAUAAUUUAGGAACUAGAUGGCCUGUAGGAGAAUUAUGUGAUAAUAUAGUAGGUAUAAAUUCUAAAUAAAAUUCUUGCCUACUAUACGAUUUUUUUUGUGUUUAUAUAUUUUGUGGCUUUAUCCAUUAUCUAUAGGUAUAAAUGGUUGGGUUGUAUGGUGUAUCUUACAAUUUACACUCUUGAUGAAUCAUCCAAAAGCUAAAAAUAAUUGAGAUGAUGUAAAGAGGUGUAAUUUACACCCUCAAUAUAUCAUUCUACGGCUAAAAAUAAUUAAGAUGACGUGGCUUAAUUUACAUCAUUGAUGUAUCAUUUUAAAAAAAAUUAAAAUGAUAUGACUUAAUUAAUCUACACCCGGAUAUAUCAUUUUAAGACUAAAAACUAAGGUAGCAUAGUGAGAGAGAGAGAGGGGGGGGGGGGGGAGAAUGACAUUUAGGUGGGAUUCGCUCACCCCAGCGCGCGUGGAUCCCACCGCGGGCGGAUAGGGGUGCGGGGCGGGGGCGUUCACGUGGCCGUGGCCGGCAUCGCGUUCCUUCCCGUCCCCACCCGCGCGUUGCGUUGCGUGGGACACACGUGGGGCCGAGCGAGCGAGACGUCGAGGCGGCGGCCGACGUGCGCGCGAGUCGUGGUGCAUCACAACUGCACACUCGUGUUCGUUCCGGCCUCACGCGUGGCGCCCGUUCCGCGCGGGAGGCCAGCCAAACCGAGCACCAAAACCCACCGGUCUGCGCGGCCGGGCGAGAACCCGCCCCCAUCUCGUGAUCGAUCGCGCGGUGGCUGGCCGGUUUGUCUGUGGAUUACACUCCCGUUGCCCGACCCCGUGAAGCGCCCAUGGCCCGUGUGUGUGUGUGGGGGGGGGGGGGGGGCGGGGGGGGUACCCCCCACGCGAUUCACGCGGUGCGCGUACCGUGUUGCGUCGCGUGCGAGGUGAUGGUGGCGGGGGCGGCAGAGCGGAGGGGAAGCGCGCACCGAACCCGUUGGUUGUUGACACGGCGGUCGGGUAGGGGGCUGGUGGCUUUUCGAGUCACCGAGGUUUGGGUUGGGGGGAACGAAUGCCUCGGAGGAUCAACUGAUCGAUCGAUCGUCCAACGACGCAUGCUACGCGCUACUUCUCGACAACAACUCCGUCAUCGCAACAGCCAUGACGGCGUCUAGUCAAUUGCUCCAACUUUCUUCUUUUUCAUUUAUAGAAUAGCUAACUAUUAACUUCAAUUCAUCUAUAGGCAAUCUACCAAUUCAUACAAAUAGUUACCUACAAAACAUCAAUACAUGGUCUCACGUGUCAUAAACAUAUUUUGUCUUAAAAGUCCAUGUGUAACUGACUAUAAAUUAGUAGCACACCUCCCUUCUCUCUCCCUAUCUUUUUAAAAUAUGCUUAAAGCCUGCUAUUAUACCUGCUCUAAUUCGCUGAUUUCAUGGAACGGCGCAAACGACGACAGCCGCAAGAGCAAACACGAGGCUUUCUGGAAAGGCUAGGCUGGUUUAGGUAGCGUCCUUUGCACGUUAGGACUUCAGAUCGCUGUCCUUGGGGGACGACGAAGACGCAGCAGACAAGGAUGGGGGGCAUAAACAUCGCAAUCGGAGGCAGACAUGGCACACGAUUCGUACCAACAAGAAACAAAAUAUCCUGUGCUCAUACAAGUUUCUACUUCAUCCGUGCAAAGAAAACUUUAUUUUUAACUUAAAUCACACAUAACAAUACAAAACAAGAUAGCUAGACUAAAAUAUCCUUAACUGUUUCAAAUUCCAAUAUAUUUAUUAUAUAUAUACUUUUUCAUAUUCCAAUGCAUGCAUCCUCCAGGUUAGCAAACUGCACUACAAUUCCUAACCAUGCCGAUGAUUUGAGCAGGAGCACUGACAGGGUAACCUAUCCCGGCUUUCUUGCUCGGCUUACCUAACCAUGGCGCGGCCAUACUGAGCCAUACACGUCCUUCUUCGUGUACCUCCUAUCCCAAGACCAAGGGACAUCUGAAAGUGAGAAAAUUUUCUCAGUGCUUUACUACUCAAGGGUUAUAUAUCAAUCGUUAAAACGUUUCAGCUAACCUUCAGUUUCGUAAAGCUUUGGAGGAAGUUGAUAUGGCACUGGCAAUCUGAUGAUUUCGGUGGAUGGUUCUUUUUCGUCGGCGCUUUUCCAGCAGAGUGUGACCAGCUUGGUCUUGAUCUCUUUCCCGGGGGCCUGGGUAUAUGUGUAAGGAAACUCAUUACGAUGAAAACAUUAGCAAAGUGAUUACAUUAUCACAAUACAAAGGGAAGGAGAAAUAAGAUUGUACCA
rnacentral:lncRNA from 1 species